rnacentral:misc_RNA from 1 species
GAAACGCGAUAGUUAAUGUGAAUUGCAGAAUUCAGUGAAUCAUCGAGUCUUUGAACGCACAUUGCGCCCAUAGGUAUUCCUUUGGGCAUGUCUGUUUGAGCGUCAUUACAACCCUCAGCUAACCGCUGGUUUUGAACCUGAACGGGUGACACCGCGCCGGUGUUAAAGUUGUAAGCUCUGCUGGCCGCUCUGCCCAACCAGAACAUAGUAAGCACUACUUGUCCGGGUGAAGCUGAACGGUACGGCCUGAACAAAACCUAACCACUCUCAAGGUUUGACCUCAGAUCAGACAAGGAUACCCGCUGAACUUAAGC